rnacentral:lncRNA from 1 species
CUCCUAACCCGAGUGACGACUAGCCAUAAUGAGAAUUGCAUACUGCUCUGGAAACGUGCUCGUUCAUUGAUAACGUUGCCUGUGGCAUUGUCUCCCCCUUGUUAAUUGACGUCUCUAUCUGUCACAGAAAUCAGAGUAACAGCGGCACAUGUUUCAAAGGUGUACUCAGCCUGACGUUUUGUCCGGCACUUGUCUCGUCACGAGGUCGAGGCAGGGAGCCUCACUGCUCCUGGCCGUGGCCGCAUGGCCGCACGCCCACGCCGUGCUCCCGGCUCCCCGUGGAAGGACGUUUCCGUCAGCAUCACUGCUGGGACGGCUCCCGCGGCCGAGGCUACUCGCCCGCACGUUUGCAGGGCUGGCCUUUUAAAAGUCAGCCGUCUGACGGGGCAGUGACCAGAUCAAGUCGCAGUUAUACAAGGAGCAAGGAAAUAUUAUGCAAGACCACAGGAAGUCAGAGGAGACAGUAUUCUGGGCAGGCCUGGCAAGGAGUCUGUGUGAACUCCAGCUAACAAGCAAAGCUCGGUCGUUGGCGCCAAAUUCAGCAGAGAACAUUCCCAGUGCUGCAAAGGAUAACACUCCCCAUGUUUUUGCCAGUGGGCUGCGGUCCAGGACGCCAUGUACCUGAUGAGAUGCAGAUAAACCCAGGUCUUAUUUUUCGCCAAGUCUUCAUUUAUUUUUAAAAUUUGGAGCAUAUUUUUGUCCGACAUUUGUUAGAAGUGGCAAAUGGUUUGUUUUCAUGGCUUUGCUAAUAGACCGCUUGUUCUUAUGCUCCCUAUAAUUUCAACUACAAUAAGUGACCUACAAAGAAAAUGUGUGGCAGAAGCCUCAUUUUUUCCAUGCAUUUUGCCCAUCUCCACCUCAAGAUACUCUGCGAAUAGGAUAUGUGAAGGUCCUGGAUUCUUCUUCCCUUGGCAUUUCGGAAUGACUGCUGCAAGUGGAGUUGGCGCAAGAAAUACCAAGAGUACAGAAAAACAUUUUAUAUGCCUCCAUUUCAACCAUAUAUCAAGGCAAAUAUUUCAUUACAAGUUUUGAAAUGCCACAGGAGUUAAAUUAGUAAAUCAUUCUACAAAGGCAACGAGUUGUUCUGCAAACUACUGCGCGAGCAAAACGUCGCUUCUCAGUGCUCCACAAACUCUUGCUGGACUCUGCUAUCUGUAAGCUGUGAGCUGCAAGCAUGGGGCUGGCUGGAGUUGCUAUCACUAGGCUUAUCUAGGACUGAAAGAGGAUAGCUCUUCUAAUCGCUGCCUGAUUUCUAUUAAACUACAUCUCAUACUGAAAUUUAUUUUGAUGACUGCUGUAGUUUAAACGCAAUUCACAAUGACCCAAAAUGAUUCCUUGAACUUUACAUAUCCAAUUCAUACUGCAGCCACAACAAACUAAAAUACACCUACCAGCACAAGAAAUGAAGCAUUUACUGUGUUUGGGUGGAGUGGGAGAUGUUUUGACUCUCACCAGCUAGUAUAGCUAUUACUAUAGGACCCGAGGGAACUGGCAC